CAGGAUAUGUGCAGGACUUUGCCAGUCAGACUGAGGUGAACAUUGACAAGUCUUGAUUACAGAAUAUCGACUGAAGCUCAGCGUGGGCAAAAGAUAAUGCGAUAAUUUGAGUCUGUCUCUGCUGCACACAGGUGCCUGUAGAGGAGACAUCUCCUUUGGCUUUUAUCUCUCACUUUGGUUCUCCUCGGUUUUCGCUUGUCCUUGGUUUGUCAUCUCCAUCAGGAUGCUAACUGAAACUUGAACCCACUUUCCUAGCCACAGAGAGAGAAAGUUUGUCACAGGAUAUCUAAUAUUUGUGUGUUGGCAGGUCGAUGAUGACAGAUCGUUUUGCUAGAUAAGACCCUCAACCCUCGGCUGGGAUCGUGUAGAGCCCUUUGAAGCUGCAUUGAAACUGCAAUUUGGACCUUCAACCCAUUGUACCCUGUUGAAGUCCACUAUAUGGAGAAAAAUCAUGGAAUGUUUUCCUCAAAAACCUUAAUUUCUUUUCAACUGAAGAAAGAAAGACAUAAACAUCUCGGAUGACAUGGGGCAGAAGAAAGAAAUUCAUACAAGUUUGGAACAACUUGAGGCUCAGGAUGCCCGUUCCAUGGUAACUAAAGAAUACGCCAGCUCCAGUUUGGAUCCAGCCUCUUAGGAAGACUUCAGAUGCCCCAACACCUGUGAAGAGAUGACUCCUAACUUCUGCGAGGACUUCAGAUGACGCAAAAUCUAAAUCAACAUGCACCACUACCAAAAUUUCUAUGUAUUGUAAUCAUUAUGAUCACAACUUGUA